ACCUACGGGGGGCAGCAGUGGGGAAUAUUGGGCAAUGGGCGCAAGCCUGACCCAGCAAUGCCGCGUGAAGGAAGAAGGCUUUCGGGUUGUAAACUUCUUUGACAGGGGAAGAGCAGAAGACGGUACCUGAGGAAUAAGCCACGGCUAACUACGUGCCAGCAGCCGCGGUAAUACGUAGGUGGCAAGCGUUAUCCGGAUUUACUGGGUGUAAAGGGCGUGUAGGCGGGAAAGCAAGUCAGAUGUGAAAACCAUGGGCUCAACCUGUGGCCUGCAUUUGAAACUGUUUUUCUUGAGUACUGGAGAGG
rnacentral:rRNA from 1 species